GAGGCAGCCUCUUUCCAUCAGACCCGAGAGAGAAACAAAAUAAAAGGGAGACAUUUUCCUUAAGCUUUUUUCAAACAAAAACCUUGAUCCACGAAGAUCCAACGGUCCGAUCUUCGAUCCGUCUUCGAAAAUGUGAUCCUUGCACUCGGAUCUACGUUUCUACCUAUCGUUUUGAGGUUUUGUGUUAUCUGGAGCUUGUAAAGAUUCUCCAAACACUGGGUAUUUUUUGGUAAUGCAUUGUAUGGGGGUGUCUAAGAGACCUAGUGCUUAAUAUCCACGCAGCCAAGGUGAGUAUUCUACUCACUGAGAAAUAUUAUUUUCAUAUAUGAUGAAUUGCAAAUAUAUAUGUUUUACAAACCUGAACCAACUGUAUGUUGAUUAUGAUCUGUUUUGGAUGAUUUGAGUAUUUUUGAGUAUAUUGAAAUUAUGAUGAUGUUUUGAAGUAUGAAUAUGAUAUGUUGGACUGUUUAUGUUUUAUAAAGAAAGUAUGUGUUAAAGACAUGAUUAUGAAAUUAAAUGUAUAGUAUUUGAGCAUAAGCAUUGAGCAUGACACGAACAAGACCGGGGUUCAAUUCCCUUAGACAUACGACAAGACCGGGGUUCAAUUCCCUUAAGCAUACGAAUAAGACCGGGGUUCAAUUCCCUUAGGCAAACGAACGACAAGCAUGCAUAGCAUUUGUUUCAUGAUAAUUGAAUUGUUUUCAUGUUAUGAUAUAUAGUAGUUUUAUGCUAGACGUAUUGGUAUGCAUAAGAGUCUCAAUGGAAAAGAACUUAUGUAUAUUUCUAUCGGAUGGUUGCAUGAUUUAAAUGCCAUUGUUUUCUAAGUCUUACUAAAUCAAAAGUAAUAUAGUAGGUGAGGAUGCAUGUAGUUGUUUCCAACAAUGAAACCUCUACGUAUGUGCUCAGCUGCGUAGUAUGCUUUAAAUGGUUUCCAUUAGUCGGUGUUUGCUAUAUCAGCUAUGGGGGUUUUCAAACAAAAGUUUAUAAAUUGGUGGUUGUUAUAGUGUACUCACGACUAAAAAGGGAAAAGUUGGUUCUUUGCGAAAACUCAGUGAAUAGUAUA